GUAGUAGUAGUGAGGAUCACUAGCCCCUUCGCCUGGCUCCGCACCCGCUUCUACUACCUGCUCAUCCGCCUCUACUUCGACCAGGAAUUCAGCAUUGAGGAGUUCACGCGGGGGGCCAAGCAGGCCUUUUCUGUUGUUUCAAAGCUGCUGUCUCAGCGUAAACUUGACCUGCUGGAAGAACUUGUAUCAGCAGAGG